rnacentral:rRNA from 1 species
GUGGGGAAUAUUGGGCAAUGGGCGCAAGCCUGACCCAGCAACGCCGCGUGAAGGAAGAAGGCUUUCGGGUUGUAAACUUCUUUUACCAGGGACGAAACAAAUGACGGUACCUGGUGAAUAAGCCACGGCUAACUACGUGCCAGCAGCCGCGGUAAUACGUAGGUGGCGAGCGUUAUCCGGAUUUAUUGGGUGUAAAGGGCGUGUAGGCGGGACAGCAAGUCAGCUGUGAAAACCAGAGGCUCAACCUCUGGCCUGCAUUUGAAACUGUUCUUCAUGAGAGUCGGAGAGGUAAUCGGAAUUCCGUGUGUAGCGGUGAAUUGCGUAGAUAUACGGAGGAACACCAGUGGCGAAGGCGGAUUACGGGACGAUAACUGACGCUGAGGCACGAAAGCGUGGGGAGCAAACAGGAUUAGAAACCCCGGUAGUCC